GGAGAAAAUAAGUAGAAGCAGCUGUAGCUGAUAACUGGCAUUCGGACAGAGAGAGUUCCAAAAUGGCAAAAGUGAAAUUGAGAAGGAGGAAGCUGAUGCACAGUGUGACCCCCCAGAUUGAAUCACCCAGAUCCUGCUGCUUGAGAGGCACCCGUCUAUACUACCUCUUGUGCUAGGGACAGCUCUGGAUUCCCUGCCACUCCACAGUGUAAAUGCUGAGAAUCUUGAAUUAUGUAUGAGUGGCACUAGAAGAUAUGAUGCUGGAAU